CUACCUGGCAAACUGCACUGAAAAUAUACCAAAGAUUUGAUUGAUCCGGGAGAAAAUUUGAGUUAACAAAGACUUGAGACUUGCUUGUGACCCAUACCCACAUUAGUUCAUAAUACUGCACGAUCACUUUACCCGGGAGUGUGGAGCAGGUGUGCAGAGCCCCAGGUCCGCUGUAAACAAAGUGACUCCCAUUUGAAUUAACAAAGAAGUGUCUGCUGCUGGGACCGCUUCUACAAGAGAUGAAAGAUCUCCGAUCAGAUGAGGACAAGAGAGCCGAACCACAAACAAGACGGGGAACUGGGCUGGGUGUAGACCGGGCCGGUCCACCCCGAUUAACCCCUCCCCCCCCCCUGCUGUCAAGGCCACUCCGUUUCUAAACAAGAGGAAAAAGAUAAAACUGUCAAGCUUCACUUUGAUGUUACUUCUGUUCAGUUUCAGACUUUGUUUAAUGUUUGUCCUCCAAGUUUAAUCAUAAAACUAACUUUAAUUUUCUCUUUUUGUGUAAU